UACGUAGGGCGCAAGCGUUGUCCGGAAUUAUUGGGCGUAAAGGGCGCGUAGGCGGCCCGGUAAGUCAAAGGUGAAAUCCCUCGGCUCAACUGAGGAACUGCCUUUGAAACUGUCGGGCUUGAGGCCGGGAGGGGGUAGCGGAAUUCCCAGUGUAGCGGUGAAAUGCGUAGAUAUUGGGAGGAACACCCGUGGCGAAGGCGGCUCUCUGGAACGCAACUGACGCUGAGACGCGAAAGCGUGGGGAGCAAACAGG
rnacentral:rRNA from 1 species